GGAAGGAUCAUUACCCAAGUGUAACCUGAGAUGGGGGGCUUGUGUGGCUUUGCUGCUCACUAGCCUCGUCUGAAUAUCUCUCACCCCAUGUCUAUGUGUACUACAUGUUUCCUUGAUAGGCUUGCCUAUCACUAGGACCUUAAAAACUCUUUGCAGUAGCAGUUUGCAUCUGAUAGAAACAAUAAUUACAACUUUCAACAACGGAUCUCUUGGUUCUGGCAUCGAUGAAGAACGCAGCGAAAUGCGAUAAGUAGUGUGAAUUGCAGAAUUCAGUGAAUCAUCGAAUCUUUGAACGCACAUUGCGCCCCUUGGUACUCCAUGGGGCAUGCCUGUUCGAGCGUCAUUUGCACCCUCAAGCACUGCUUGGUGUUGGGCGAUUUGUCCUGCGGUUUGUGCAGGACUCGCCUUAAAGCAAUUGGCAGCCGGCAGUUUGGCCUAGAAGCGCAGCACAAUACGCGCCUCUAUAGCCCAUCUGGCGGCAUCCAUAAGCCUAAAUUUUUUUUUAGCUUGACCUCGGAUCAGGUAGGGAUACCCGCUGAACUUAAGCAUAUC
rnacentral:rRNA from 1 species